rnacentral:rRNA from 1 species
CUUUUGUAUAAUGGGUCAGCGACUUAUAUUCUGUAGCAAGGUUAACCGUAUAGGGGAGCCGCAGGGAAACCGAGUCUUAACUGGGCGUUAAGUUGCAGGGUAUAGACCCGAAACCCGGUGAUCUAGCCAUGGGCAGGUUGAAGGUUGGGUAACACUAACUGGAGGACCGAACCGACUAAUGUUGAAAAAUUAGCGGAUGACUUGUGGCUGGGGGUGAAAGGCCAAUCAAACCGGGAGAUAGCUGGUUCUCCCCGAAAGCUAUUUAGGUAGCGCCUCGUGAAUUCAUCUUCGGGGGUAGAGCACUGUUUCGGCUAGGGGGUCAUCCCGACUUACCAACCCGAUGCAAACUACGAAUACCGAAGAAUGUUAUCACGGGAGACACACGGCGGGUGCUAACGUCCGUCGUGAAGAGGGAAACAACCCAGACCGCCAGCUAAGGUCCCAAAGUCAUGGUUAAGUGGGAAACGAUGUGGGAAGGCACAGACAGCCAGGAUGUUGGCUUAGAAGCAGCCAUCAUUUAAAGAAAGCGUAAUAGCUCACUGGUCGAGUCGGCCUGCGCGGAAGAUGUAACGGGGCUAAACCAUGCACCGAAGCUGCGGCAGCGACACUAUGUGUUGUUGGGUAGGGGAGCGUUCUGUAAGCCUGCGAAGGUGUGCUGUGAGGCAUGCUGGAGGUAUCAGAAGUGCGAAUGCUGACAUAAGUAACGAUAAAGCGGGUGAAAAGCCCGCUCGCCGGAAGACCAAGGGUUCCUGUCCAACGUUAAUCGGGGCAGGGUGAGUCGACCCCUAAGGCGAGGCCGAAAGGCGUAGUCGAUGGGAAACAGGUUAAUAUUCCUGUACUUGGUGUUACUGCGAAGGGGGGACGGAGAAGGCUAUGUUAGCCGGGCGACGGUUGUCCCG